GCAAUACAUACACAAAUCAACCUUCUCUGAUCUCUUAUGGUUUCUCCCCCACUGCAAUUGAAGAAGAAUUUGUGAACCACAUCAUCACAGAGCAUAUUUGAGGAGAAGAGAUUCCAAUGUACCACAAUUAGACUGAUUUGAGUGUCAAAAAACUAGCAAAAUGCAUGUAUGGUGCAAAAGAGAACUCAGAUGGCAACUUCUUGUCUUCAUUUGUAAUUGAUAUACGGUACCUAUCGCCCUCUUUAUGCCUUCAU